rnacentral:rRNA from 1 species
UGAGCAAUCUGCCCUUCUCUUCGGAAUAAGCGUUGGAAACGACGUCUAAUGCCGAAUACGACCUCCUUUCGCAUGAUCGGAGGUGGAAAGCUCCGGCGGAGAAGGAUGAGCUCGCGGCCUAUCAGCUAGUUGGUGUGGGUAAUGGCCCACAAGGCGACGACGGGUAGCCGGCCUGAGAGGGUGACCGGCCACACUGGGACUGAGACACGGCCCAGACCUCCGUACGGGGAGGCAG